GUAGGUGAACCUGCGGAAGGAUCAUUUCCGAACAAAACUUUAAUACCGACCCACCGUGUGCAAUGUUUUGGGUUUCCCUUUACUCCUUGCAGGUGAUACAGAUAUGUGUUUGGAAAAGAGAAAUCUUGCCCUAUAUAUAUAUAUAUCAUACUAUCAUCCUGUGGGGAGGCCUUUAUGAACUACCUUGAUUUAAAGGUUGAUGUAACCAUUUACUUAUACCAAAUGAAAAAUAAAGUAAUGAUACGACAACUUUUAACGGUGGAUCUCUUGGCUCGU
rnacentral:misc_RNA from 1 species